CCUGCCUCUGCCUCCCAAAAUGCAGGGAUUAUAGGCAUGAGCCACCGUGCCAGGCCUCCCUCCCACAUUUCUAAAUGAGAGAAAUUCCCCUCUCCAAGAUAUAACUCAAAAGUUAUUUCCUGCAAGUCUUCACUAACGCUAGGAACCCAGAAUUAAUUCUCUUUGGCGCUUUGCUUACACUGCUGCUGCUGCUAUUAUCUUACCUUGUUCUGUCAGAUUAUUUGUGUGUGUCUCUCCAACUAGAUCAAGUGCUCUUGGAGGGCAGAAGCCAAAUGGAAAUCUUUGUUUUAUGUCCUUAGGGACUUAGCAGUUUCUGGCACUCAGUAGACACUCUAUAAAUAUUUUAGAAUCCUUGAAGUGUAAAUUAAUUCAAAUUGUUUUCUUCUUAAAAGGUAGCAAGAAUCAGGUGCUCUGAAGGAUGCACAAAGUGCAGGAAAGGUGGUAGGAAAACGGGUGUUGAGGGAGAAAACUAAUUUCAGAGCAUGGAUGGAUGCUUCUGUGAUGGACUGGGGAAGCAGGAACGCCCUGAGGGGCUGAGAGGAGGAGCAGAGGUGUGAACCUGUGAGAGAAAGGAGGGUGGAAUAAGCUGAUUAGUAAACAAGACCAGGGUGUACCACAUAGCAGCACCUUCCAGAUCUUGAAAAAGAAUAGGCGGCAUCAAUGGCUGCAAAUAGUAAGGCCAGAUCAAAUAAUUUGAUAUCAAGUGGAGGAAAUUGGACUUGAUGAGAGAAACAAUGAAGGAUUAUUUACCAAUAUCUCAUUUGAUGAGGGAGACACAUGGUAAGAAAGUUUUUGAAGAAACAGCAAUAUGCAAAGGCAAAAAUCAACAGCCAAUUUGGAUAUCAUCAAGACACCUGAAACCUUAUUAUGAGCCAGAUGCUGAGGAAGAGACUCCGUGAGGAUCCCGAGGACUCCCCAGUUGCAGCCAUGUCGAGGCUGACACUGAGGAGGACCCCAACUGUCACGAGCAACACCCGUC
rnacentral:lncRNA from 1 species